AUAAAUUACUUGUAACUAAUUUCAUAACUGGAGGAACAUCAACUAUGAAACGAAGUUAAAAGCCAGGAUUUUUAAAUAAAAUAUAGAGUUAAGUAUUUACACUCCUCCUUUAUAAAUAGAUAACUGAUUGUUGUACUAAGUGUGUGGUAAUCAUGAGCAAGACACAUAUUACAUUGUUUUUUAUUUUGCUUAUUCUCCUUCCUUAUGAGAUGAUGGCAAACUUAACAGAAAGUCUAUGCAUAGAAGAAAAAUGCAAAUUGUAUUGUCAUUUUAGACAUCUUUCAGAUGGUUAUUGCUCAUCUCCUUACAUGUGCUCAUGCGAGGCCCAACUUUCGCUGUUUCUGUUUCUUUGAUUGUGUUAUGGUGUUUAUGUAUACCCUUUAAUUAUAUUCACAUGUACGUCUCGUUUCAUUUCAA